rnacentral:rRNA from 1 species
ACGAAGAGGUAUCGUAAUUGAAGAGGUUUGGAAAGACCCACCACAGAAGGUAAUAGUCCUGUAUGUUAAACGAGAAGACUUCAGAUAUGAUCCAGAGUACCACGGGACACGUGAAACCCUGUGGGAAGCAGGAGGGACCACCCUCCAAGGCUAAAUACUACCUAGUGACCGAUAGCGUAUAGUACCGUGAGGGAAAGGUGAAAAGAACCCCGGGAGGGGAGUGAAAUAGAACCUGAAACCCUGCACUUACAAGCUGUGGAAGCACAUUUCUUGUGUGACCGCGUACUUUUUGUAGAACGGGCCAACGAGUUACGUUAAGUAGCAAGGUUAAGCACUUAAGGUGCGGAGCCGUAGCGAAAGCGAGUUUUAACUGAGCGUUCAGUUACUUGACGUAGACCCGAAACCGGGCGACCUACCCAUGAGCAGGAUGAAGCGAAAGUAAAAUUUCGUGGAGGUCCGAACCCACGAGCGUUGAAAAGCUCGGGGAUGACUUGUGGGUAGCGGUGAAAUUCCAAUCGAGCCCGGAGAUAGCUGGUUCUCCCCGAAAUAGCUUUAGGGCUAGCCUCAAGGUGAGAGAUACGGAGGUAGAGCACUGAAUGUCCUAGGGGGUAUUGCACCUACCGAAGACUAUCAAACUCCGAAUGCCGUCAUCUUAUACUUGGGAGUCAGACUGUGGGUGAUAAGAUUCAUAGUCGAAAGGGCAACAGCCCAGAUCGUCAGCUAAGGUCCCUAAAUGUAAGUUAAGUGGUAAAGGAUGUGGGAUUGCACAGACAACCAGGAUGUUGGCUUAGAAGCAGCCACUCAUUCAAAGAGUGCGUAAUAGCUCACUGGUCGAGU